GGGUUGUGAGGUUAAGCGACUAAGCGUACACGGUGGAUGCCCUGGCAGUCAGAGGCGAUGAAGGGCGUGCUAAUCUGCGAUAAGCGCCGGUAAGGUGAUAUGAACCGUUAUAACCGGCGAUACCCGAAUGGGGAAACCCAGUGUGAUUCGUCACACUAUCAUUAACUGAAUCCAUAGGUUAAUGAGGCGAACCGGGGGAACUGAAACAUCUAAGUACCCCGAGGAAAAGAAAUCAACCGAGAUUCCCCCAGUAGCGGCGAGCGAACGGGGAGGAGCCCAGAGCCUGAAUCAGCAUGUGUGUUAGUGGAAGCGUCUGGAAAGGCGCGCGAUACAGGGUGACAGCCCCGUACACAAAAGCGCAUGUGCUGUGAGCUCGAUGAGUAGGGCGGGACACGUGGUAUCCUGUCUGAAUAUGGGGGGACCAUCCUCCAAGGCUAAAUACUCCUGACUGACCGAUAGUGAACCAGUACCGUGAGGGAAAGGCGAAAAGAACCCCGGCGAGGGGAGUGAAAAAGAACCUGAAACCGUGUACGUACAAGCAGUGGGAGCCCCACCACUAAGCCAGUGGUGAACUCCACAUACGCAUCCUUUGCUGAGGAUACGGUUAACGGAGCGAAAGCGACGUUCAACCGCAAAACAAGCAGAGGGGGCUUAGUGGUGGGGUGACUGCGUACCUUUUGUAUAAUGGGUCAGCGACUUAUAUUCUGUAGCAAGGUUAACCGAAUAGGGGAGCCGUAGGGAAACCGAGUCUUAACCGGGCGUUAAGUUGCAGGGUAUAGACCCGAAACCCGGUGAUCUAGCCAUGGGCAGGUUGAAGGUUGGGUAACACUAACUGGAGGACCGAACCGACUAAUGUUGAAAAAUUAGCGGAUGACCUGUGGCUGGGGGUGAAAGGCCAAUCAAACCGGGAGAUAGCUGGUUCUCCCCGAAAGCUAUUUAGGUAGCGCCUCGUGAAUUCAUCUCCGGGGGUAGAGCACUGUUUCGGCUAGGGGGCCAUCCCGGCUUACCAACCCGAUGCAAACUGCGAAUACCGGAGAAUGUUAUCACGGGAGACACACGGCGGGUGCUAACGUCCGUCGUGAAGAGGGAAACAACCCAGACCGCCAGCUAAGGUCCCAAAGUCAUGGUUAAGUGGGAAACGAUGUGGGAAGGCCCAGACAGCCAGGAUGUUGGCUUAGAAGCAGCCAUCAUUUAAAGAAAGCGUAAUAGCUCACUGGUCGAGUCGGCCUGCGCGGAAGAUGUAACGGGGCUAAACCAUGCACCGAAGCUGCGGCAGCGAACGUAUCACUUAAAGCGAUUCAGCGGGUUACGAUUGACGGAGCGAAGCGACGUCAAAGCGUAUACAAAGUCGAGUCGGUUUAAGGAUACGUUCGUUGGGUAGGGGAGCGUUCUGUAAGCCUGCGAAGGUGGCCUGUGAGGGUUGCUGGAGGUAUCAGAAGUGCGAAUGCUGACAUAAGUAACGAUAAAGCGGGUGAAAAGCCCGCUCGCCGGAAGACCAAGGGUUCCUGUCCAACGUUAAUCGGGGCAGGGUGAGUCGACCCCUAAGGCGAGGCCGAAAGGCGUAGUCGAUGGGAAACGGGUUAAUAUUCCCGUACUUGGUGUUACUGCGAAGGGGGGACGGAGAAGGCUAUGUUGGCCGGGCGACGGUUGUCCCGGUUUAAGCGUGUAGGUGUGUGUUCCAGGUAAAUCCGGUUCACUUUAACACUGAGGCGUGACGACGAGGCACUACGGUGCUGAAGCAACAAAUGCCCUGCUUCCAGGAAAAGCCUCUAAGCAUCAGGUAACAUCAAAUCGUACCCCAAACCGACACAGGUGGUCAGGUAGAGAAUACCAAGGCGCUUGAGAGAACUCGGGUGAAGGAACUAGGCAAAAUGGUGCCGUAACUUCGGGAGAAGGCACGCUGACACGUAGGUGAAGUGAUUUACUCAUGGAGCUGAAGUCAGUCGAAGAUACCAGCUGGCUGCAACUGUUUAUUAAAAACACAGCACUGUGCAAACACGAAAGUGGACGUAUACGGUGUGACGCCUGCCCGGUGCCGGAAGGUUAAUUGAUGGGGUCAGCGCAAGCGAAGCUCCUGAUCGAAGCCCCGGUAAACGGCGGCCGUAACUAUAACGGUCCUAAGGUAGCGAAAUUCCUUGUCGGGUAAGUUCCGACCUGCACGAAUGGCGUAAUGAUGGCCAGGCUGUCUCCACCCGAGACUCAGUGAAAUUGAACUCGCUGUGAAGAUGCAGUGUACCCGCGGCAAGACGGAAAGACCCCGUGAACCUUUACUAUAGCUUGACACUGAACAUUGAGCCUUGAUGUGUAGGAUAGGUGGGAGGCUUUGAAGUGUGGACGCCAGUCUGCAUGGAGCCGACCUUGAAAUACCACCCUUUAAUGUUUGAUGUUCUAACGUGGACCCGUAAUCCGGGUUGCGGACAGUGUCUGGUGGGUAGUUUGACUGGGGCGGUCUCCUCCUAAAGAGUAACGGAGGAGCACGAAGGUUGGCUAAUCCUGGUCGGACAUCAGGAGGUUAGUGCAAUGGCAUAAGCCAGCUUGACUGCGAGCGUGACGGCGCGAGCAGGUGCGAAAGCAGGUCAUAGUGAUCCGGUGGUUCUGAAUGGAAGGGCCAUCGCUCAACGGAUAAAAGGUACUCCGGGGAUAACAGGCUGAUACCGCCCAAGAGUUCAUAUCGACGGCGGUGUUUGGCACCUCGAUGUCGGCUCAUCACAUCCUGGGGCUGAAGUAGGUCCCAAGGGUAUGGCUGUUCGCCAUUUAAAGUGGUACGCGAGCUGGGUUUAGAACGUCGUGAGACAGUUCGGUCCCUAUCUGCCGUGGGCGCUGGAGAACUGAGGGGGGCUGCUCCUAGUACGAGAGGACCGGAGUGGACGCAUCACUGGUGUUCGGGUUGUCAUGCCAAUGGCACUGCCCGGUAGCUAAAUGCGGAAGAGAUAAGUGCUGAAAGCAUCUAAGCACGAAACUUGCCCCGAGAUGAGUUCUCCCUGAGACUUAGAGUCUCCUGAAGGAACGUUGAAGACGACGACGUUGAUAGGCCGGGUGUGUAAGCGCAGCGAUGCGUUGAGCUAACCGGUACUAAUGAACCGUGAGGCUUAACCUUACAACGCCGAAG
rnacentral:rRNA from 1 species